ACCAACCUCGCCGUUGCUUGCUAAGGCACGGCGCCUCGCCGCUGCCUUGAGAGGGGCCAGUCGUGCCGUCGCUUGGAGGAGCAGCCACCACGCUGAGAGGGUCGUGGGCGUCCGAUGCCGCUGCAGUGCUGCGGUACGGGAAGCGCCAUGCAUAUGGUCGCGGCCUGGUGCGCCGGAGGGCGCCGCCGGCGUCGAGAUCUGGUCCUGCCGCGGGAAGCAGUGGUUCCGAGGGUGGCCGGGCCGUGGGCUGAGCGCUGCGCGCCGUAGUGCAAGGAGCCGGAACAGGAGGGGUGCCUCACAAACACCGUCUCGGCUGGCCGCUGCGUCGUCACUCGUCAGUGGCCAUGGCCGAUUGGCGUCGGCUGUUGGUAAGGGAGUUGGCCGUUGGCCGGGUGUCUUGCACGUCGUGCACCGGUGCGACGUCGAGGCUGGGCUCUCCGCUGCAAGCAGGUACGUCGCCUGGAUUGGAGGUUACUAGUACGUAUUUGUCUAAGAACAAAAUUUGGAAUAGGAUCACCUGAUGAUGUAACGAUUAAGAUCAAGAGUUCUGGUCUUUAAGGCUGAUUCGGGAUGCUUGCUGUUUGUGACUUUAUCUCUUGAUCUUUGCGUUGUGCUUCCUGAUUCUUGUUCGACUGUUUUUCCGCUCUUCCAGUUAUUGUUCUUCAGAUGUGUGUUCGUCAUGGUAGAUGCAAGAAAUUGUAAAUUCUCAGGAUUUUGUGCUUUCUUCUCAUGGUGGCCUUCUUACUCUUUGCAUCUGCGAUGAAAAGGAAUCUAAGAUUGAGAAGGAACUGCCAAUUUAAUUGGUUGAUGAUUGAUGGGUAGAUCGUCGUAGAGGACGACGGGGUCGACGAAAAGAAGAAACGAGGAGAAGGUUGUUCCAGCGUAUCCGGAGAAACGAAUUCAUCGGAGUUAUUCGUCGAGGCUCUCGGCAUAGGCGUGCUGAUAACGUGUGAAAGUAAAAUGAGAGAGGCAGGAGCAAAUGAUGGAAUAGUUACUUUCAUUGAUGAAGUUUGGGGUAUAUAUACCCGGAUACAAAGGCGGUUACAAAGAGCGGUUGCCAAUAGUGAAACCGACAUAAGCAGGGAUUAACCCUUUAACUAAACUAAUUAAUUAAUUCCUAACAGAGACCUCCUGCAAACCUCCUCCCGUGCGUACCCGAUCGCAUCUGCUGACACCUGUACGUUCCCAACAUCCGACGGUAUCCCUCGUCCCACCCGCUCCACGCGUUCCCUCGGCUCGCGCGCUGACUCUCGGCUCCAGAUGAGUCGGCUCAGGCGCGCUCCUUUCCCUUCUCCCAGUCGCUCGCUCCGUUCGUCCGCCGCCGCCGCAAUCGCCUCCGCGGCCCGCCGCCGCCGGCUCCCUCGUCCGCUUCCACAGUUGGAACUUUCGCACCCCCAUUCGCUACCGCGGUCACCUCUUCUGCCCCGCCCCCUCGUCUGCCACGGGGUAGUGACAGCGGCCGCCGGCCACACGACGCAGAUGCGGCUUGAGUUCCUUGUCCCUUUGGUUUGCCCACUGAUUCUUUUCGAGAUUCAUUUGGGUGCUAUGCAGUUGAUCUGUCCAUUGCUGGGUUUGUUUUGUUGAUUCGUAUUUCGGUUCAACUUCUAUUGUUCUUGCUGAUGAACUGCUGUUGUUAUAUAGUGUUGCGUCAGGAGACAAGCACUGCCCUGACCCGGUUGUAGUCAAUUUGAGAAAAACCUUGACUGGAGUUACAAGAUGUUUAAGCCUGGUUGGAAGGACAUCUUCUGAAUGAAUCAAAGUGAGCUCGAGGCCGAGAUAUAAAAGGUUUCUCAAGAUUCUACUCUUGGCCCAAGGAUGAAAGCAUAUGUAAGCAGGGUGGCUAUCUUUGACAUCGACGGAGCCCUCCCUAGAGGCAGGAGCCUCGGCGACGGAAGAACAAAGGGGAGGCCUCCUCGCUGUGCAACAACAAAGCUCCACCGUCCGUCUCCUAGACGAAGACCCUCAAGUACAAAACUGUCGUGGAAACCAUUGGAGAAGAUGGAAUUAUUGUUGAUUUCGUCAACUUUUAGAUAGACUAAAUGUUAAGUCUUGCAACUUUGGAGUUGAAUUAUGACAAAUAUUGUAGGAAUCUAGAGUUGAUUUCUCUCCCUGGCAAUGUACAAUGUAUUUUCUUAUCUAACACAUAUAUAUGAAUGAUUUGAAAUCUUCAA